UGUCCACAGGAACAUGGAGAGAGGGGUCCAACCGAAGACGGGCUUUUGCUACAAUACAAGGGUUUGGCUCCAGUACCACUUCUUUUAUGACCAAGGGAGCCAAACCUUCCUACUAACUACUGUAAUAAAUAGAUGAGGGAGAGAGAGAGAGAGAGAGAAUAAAGCUAACCCUUGGGUCCCCUGCCUAUAAAUUUAGUGUAAAAAUGCUAUGUUCAUGUAGUUGUCAUCUUACCCGACGCUCAUACAGAUCAUAAGGAGAAGAAGGAAAAAUGGAAGGUGCUCCAGGACGACAAGAGAUGUCAUACUAUGAUCAUGUCCAAAAACGCCGUGAGGAGAAAGGAUGCCUCUAUGCUUGUUUGUUCACGUUGUGUUGCUGCUUUUGCUGCGCUGAGUGUUGCGAGUGCUGCUUGGAGAGUAUCUGCUGUUGUUGCUCCUAAGAAGAUGUGGGAAUCAGUAGAGCAAAUAAUACUAUGAAAAAUUAAAGUUAUUGCUACUUAGCAUCUUUUUCUUGUAUGGCAAUCGAAUGCAAUUCUAUUAAACUCUCUGUUGUGAGGGUGUCUUGUAUUGCAAGGGCCUGUUGCUGUACCAUGUAAAAACCAGAAAGAGAAAGAGGUGUGCCAAUGAAAAAAGUUCAAUUUUAUUUGAAAAAAAUGGGCCACAAAUUAGAUUUA